UAUUCAUUGCAAUGUUGUGGCUGGACCUGUUUUGUUUGGGCUUUUGCGUUUUCCUAUGAAUUUUUUGUGCCAGACCUGUGUGUUUGUCGAGUAAUAGUCAUACAUGUGUACUUUGUUCCGACUAUAGAUUAGGUGUAUUUGGAGUUCUUUUUCCAUGAAAACUGUUGGCUGGAGUUUUUCCCUCUAUUGAGAGAAUCAGAGUUCUUAGGCAUCCUAUUUCAGGAGCAUCAUGUUUAAUCUCGCUACCCUUCUUAUGGAUGACUUGCAUUCAGUUAAAAGUAAUUAGUAGAUCCGUUUAAGGAAUGUUUCUUAAAGGAAAGAGUGCAGUACUUCGCGUCCUAGCCAUUGUGGUUUUACGUUGCUGAUUUGCUUCCUCAUGGUUUUGACCUAAAAUGCUACGUGACCGUCAAAAUUAGAAUGCACAUGCUCUCUCUCUCUCUCACACACACACACUCUUAAAUUUGCAUUGCUGGAUGUCCUUCAUGACUCAGAUGAACCGUUCAAAACAAACAAGGGCUCAUAUUUAUGGUCUCUUACUUUUGGCAAAUGUUGAUCAUAACUUGUAAUCACUCUUCAGGACCUUGAGAAGUAUGCAAGUCUUAAUGUUGUUCAAGAAUGGAGAGAACUUGUUGCUAAUCAAAAUACAAUUCUUCAUUCCGUAGUUUGAAAAUAGAUUAUCUAUUGGAGGAACUUCGUCCCCAUCUGGAGAAAUAGAGAAUUGUUGCAGGAUCAUCAAGUUGCAGACGAGAAAUUGAGAAUCAUACAAAGAGACGGAUUGAGCCAUUGAAUGGAUGUGGGUCGCGAAAAGCUAACACCUUUGUUAGGUAUGGGAAUAUGGCUAUAGAUACUAAUUAUGGGGAUACACCGCAUUAAAUUCUUGAUACUAGCAUUUUGCAACAAUAUGUUGGAGGUACUAAACUUAAUAUGAUCAGCUAAGUCUAAUAAAAUCUAGGAACUACAGCUAGAUGGGCACACUAGAGAGUUAAAUCAUUCCCUUGUUUGUUAACAAGAUAAUUAACUUCUUGAGGUCUCAAGGGUAGCUGUUUUUUCGGCAAAUCCAAUAUUUGUGUGCCUCUUUUUGUAAAUGUCUCUUUUGUUCUACUUAGCCCUUCGUGUUAUAGCUCUUAUUGCUCUAUUAGCAUCUAACUGGUACAUUUUGAUAGAUAUAUCAUACCAUCAAUAACGAUCUUAAGAUUUUACUAGCAUUUGGAGAUUUCUCAUCCCAUUUCUCUUUGUUAGCUCUUAUUCCUUAGUUGCUAUGCUACUAAUUAUUUUUUGUGCUUUUUGUUCUAAGAAUCAACAGAAAAUAAAUGGAGAUCAAAGUUUGGAAAAGAUUGAAUGAGACAAGACGAGACAAAUAAAAUAAGAACUUCGGGACAAGUUGUUUGCACAUACAAGGUAAAUUAAUGGGCAAGAGCAAUUAUACUUUAUUUUUGCCUACUAUUUUUAGCCAUAAAAUUGGGAUGACGUACUGCUGAAUUUCACUUUUGGAUAAUGUGCUGAAUUUCAUCGGUUGUUAUAAUGUGCU